AAAUAUGCAGAAAAGAAAGGGCUUUGAAGCUGGAAAAUUUCAGCAACAUAUUUCCCUUGCUUGUAAGUGAUUUUAAUGUCUUUGCUUGAUGAUUUUUACAUUUUUGGAACCCCUAAAGCAUGAGCUUUCAUAUGAGGGGUCUAUUUUGCAAAAUGAUGAAGAGUCUAGGGUUUUGCCAUGAGAGUAAAUGUGUUGUUUUCUGUGUUUUUAUGGAAGAUUAUGAGUCCUAGUUGUCUAAUAAACAACUUUUGUGAAAGAAAUUGUAUGAAAACACCUUAAAAAGGGCUAGAUUGCUAAGUUGUAAAAUGAGUUGUAAAUGUGUGAAAUAGUUGAAAUUAUGAGUUGCUAUAGUUAUGAAAAUGGUUCAUCUAGACUCAAGGAGUAAAGAAAUGUGAUAAAAAUUAUUUUACGAGCCUAGGGGUAAUUUGGUAAUUUUGGAAAAAUAUAGGGGCAAAAUUGUAAAAAUUGCCCAAGUGUGUCAAUGGACUAAUUUGAUCAGUACAUUGUUUUAAUAAGUUGAAUAUGAUAUUUUAGAUGAUGAAAAUCGAGAUUUGGACCUAGAACGGAAAGAAAUCGAUUAAAGGAUAAUUACGUCUUUUUUUUCACCUUUGUGGUAUCGAGGUAAGUUCAUGUGUAAAUAAAGUAGCAUAAUUGUUAUUUUUAAGUUAUUGAUGUUAAAUAUAUGAUAUGCUGGUUUCUAUCAUGAAAUAUAUGCUUUGUGGUUAUUUUCGAAUAAAAUGCAAGUUAUGUGUAUUAUCUGUUAAAUAUAAAGUGCUACCGAGUAUUGGUUUCGGUAUUUUACGGAAGAUGGCAAGGAGAUGUGUUCGAGGAAAAUCCCGUUUGAACCUUGGGAAUAGAUUAGGAUACAAGUGACAUGUCACUAGGAUGGUUGAGCAUCCGAACUCGUUGAGUUGAGUCCGAGUCCACUUAUGGAUGCGAAUGUUCGAACUCGUUGAGUUGAGUCCGAGUUCGUGAGAUGUAACUAGGCAUCCGAGCUCGUUGAGUUGAGUCCGAGUUCACUUAUGGAUGCGAACGCCCGAGCUCGUUGAGUUGAGUCCGAGUUCUCUUAUGGGCGGGUUUCAUGGUAGCUUGGCUACAUAUGUGGCACUUAUGUGCAAACUUUCCAUGUAUCCGAAUUAUAUUCCGAUGUGUUCAACGGGUAAAAUUCUACUCAAAUGGAGGAGUACUCGAGAUGAAAGGGACGUAUUGGUAAAUGUUGUGAAAUGGAUACUUUGAACAGGUAUGUACUUAACCCUCGGGUUGAAAACUCGACAUAACAAUAAUAUGGUAAGAUGAUAAAUGAAAAUGUGAUAUGAAUGUCUCGGUGAUGAUUAUACAAACGAUGUUGUAUUAAUUUUGUGAACAAUGAUCAUGAAUGAGUAAUUUAGCCUUGACAGAUUUGAGUUACUGCAGUAGUGUAACUUUGAAAAUACACUAAAAAUAGUGGAAAAUGAGUUAGAGGCAGAAUAAAAUAUGGGAUUAAAGCUUAAUGAGUCUAUUUUCACAUGAAAGAAACAGGGGAAGAAAAAGAAUUCCAUAUUGUGUGAUAUUUGAAUUCUUGUGAAACAAGGUCUGAAUGAAUUCGAGAUCCCCUGUUCUGAAUUUAGAAAUUCACCAAAAAUUGUACAAAAAUUAUUAAGAGUCAUACCUUACAUGCAUGGAUUCCUUAUUGAGUCUAUUUUUAGGGGAAAUAAACUCCAUAGUUGUUGGAAUUUUUUACAGGGAGAAAUUCAGUUUGUAGUACACAGGGGUCAGAGUGGUCAUACCCUGAAACAGGGGAGACUUUAACUAAUAAACUGUACUAAUUGGCCCAACCAAAAAUUCUAGAAAAAAAUUAGUUAGUAGACAUAUGAGUCUAGUUUCAAUAUAAAUAGACAAGAACAUUAUUCGAGUCUUGUACUAUGAGAUAAUUGAAUUUUAGUACAGAAGGGUCGGAACUGUCAGACAGUGAAUCAGGGGUAACUUUGAGGAAUAAACUGUACUAUUUGGCUUAACCAAAAAUUCUGAAAAUUUUAUGGAAGAAAUGGAAAUAAGUCUAGUUUCAGGGAAAAUUAACAGAACUUAAUUCGUAGUUUCGUAGCUCCAGAUAUAAAAAAUUUAGUGACCGUUGCUCAGAAAGACAGCUUGCAGUGAACUUGAGAAUAUGUUGUAAACAUUGAUAAAACAAGUUAAUGGGUGCUUAUUGUUUUCAUAUGAACUUACUAAGCGAAAGCUUACCCCCCUCUUCUUUCCCAUAUUUUCUAGAGUUUCCAGGUUAGCUCGGGUUGGAGGCCGUCAGAGAUAUUAUCACACUGUCAAGCUAACGCUAUUGGUGUAGUGAUUUCAAGUACUUUGAGCCUAUGGCAUGUAUAGGAGUUUAAAUAUUAGAGUAUGUGAUAUGGCUUUAACCAUAUGUGUUGGCCUAUUUUGAUUAUGGGGUUGUAAAUCUAUUUUAAUUAUGCAUGCAUGUGCUAUGGUAUUAUGUGAUGAGUUUAUAAUGAUUAUAGUAUGAAU
rnacentral:lncRNA from 1 species